rnacentral:rRNA from 1 species
AUGGGGGAAGUGGAGGACAUUCUCAAGGACUACGAGGUCAAGAAGGAAGGCGAGGCCGAGAUCCUCAUGCUCGCGAGUAACGCCGUGUUCUUCAAUCCCGUCCAGGUGCACAACAGAGAUAUGUCCAUUGCUGUGUUAAGGACAUUUGUUGCCAAGCGCAAGGAAGAAUAUGAGGAACUGAUGAAUAAAAGGAAUAAUAAGUCUAAUAAAAAAGGCAAUCAGGUUGAAACACCUGUUGUAAAUGGAGACACUGCUUUAACUAGCCAGCAUGAUGAAAUCGGUGUUGUUCAUGAAAAGGAGACAAAUCAGCCUACAAAUGAAAUAGAAGAUCUGUCAAAAGAAGAAACGAAGACACCUUCCAGGAAAGUAACCAGAGAGCUUAAGCCACCAAUUGUUCUUGAGGCUUUAGCUGCUUCUGGGUUGAGGUCUCUCCGUUAUGCUCGUGAAGUUGAUGGAUUAGGAAAGGUAGUUGCUCUGGACAAUGAUAAAGCUUCUAUUGAAGCUUGCAAGAGGAACAUCAAGUUCAAUGGGGCUUCUGCUAUUAGCAAGGUUGAAGCUCACUUGGCUGAUGCUCGAGUUUACAUGCUCACACAUCCAAAAGAAUUUGAUGUGGUUGAUCUUGACCCCUAUGGGUCACCAUCUGUAUUCCUCGACUCAGCUGUACAGGCUGUUGCUGAUGGUGGGCUAUUGAUGUGCACAGCCACUGAUCUGGCAGUACUUUGUGGAACUAAUGGAGAAGUUUGCUACUCCAAGUAUGGUUCCUACCCAGUCAAAGGCAAGUAUUGCCAUGAAAUGGCUUUGAGAAUCCUCCUUGCCUGUAUCGAGAGCCAUGCAAAUCGGUACAAGAGAUAUAUUGUGCCUGUUCUCUCUGUGUAUAUGGAUUUCUAUGUCCGUGUUUUUGUUCGAGUAUUCACUUCUGCAAGUGAAAUAAAGAAUACCCCACUUAAACUUUCUUAUGUAUAUCAAUGUGCCGGCUGUGAUUCUUUCCAUCUUCAGUCCCUUGGGAGGACUGUUACUAAGAAUAAUAGCUUGAAGCAUGCGCCUGGUAUUGGACCUGUUGUUCCUCAAGAAUGCAGCGACUGUGGAAAGAAAUUUAAUGUGGGUGGGCCAAUAUGGUCUGCUCCUAUUCAUGAUCAAGAUUGGGUACUUUCUACGCUGACAGAUGUUAGGCAAAUGAAGGAUAGAUAUCCCGCAUACAACAAAAUUACUUCAGUUCUAACUACUGUAUCAGAGGAAUUGCAUGAGAUUCCAUUAUUUUUUAGUCUCCACAACAUAUCUGGGACUGUGAAGUGCACAUCACCAUCUGCAGUUAUGUUCCGGUCAGCGGUUAUAAAUGCAGGAUAUCAGAUCUCAAGCAGUCACUGUAAUCCGCUUGGGUUGAAGUCUGAUGCCCCCUGGGAUGUUAUUUGGGACAUCAUGCGCUGCUGGGUGAAAAACCAUCCAAUCAAGGAACAGCCGCGUGACUCUCCGGGCACUGCAAUCCUUUCUAAAUCUCCACAGCUAGAAGCAAAUUUCUCUAGAGCAGUUGCUGCCCUCAGCAAGGCUCAGGUUAAGAAGGUGAAUCGGUUCCUUCCAAACCCAGAAAGUCACUGGGGUCCGAAGGUCAGGGCAGGUCGGAGAAUUACUAGCAAGCAUAUCUCUCUGUUGGGCGCAGAGGCUCUCAAUGGAGCUAUCAGCCACCAAGAUGGAAAUGGAGCGGUGACAGAUAAGCCAGCUUCAGAUACUGGAGCGACUGUCACGAAUGAAGAAGAGAAUGAGCCUUCAACCAAACGCCAGAAAACUGGCGAUGGUGAACAGGCCAGCGAACCUUGA